rnacentral:rRNA from 1 species
UUCGCCAUUUAAAGUGGUACGCGAGCUGGGUUUAGAACGUCGUGAGACAGUUCGGUCCCUAUCUGCCGUGGGCGCUGGAGAACUGAGGGGGGCUGCUCCUAGUACGAGAGGACCGGAGUGGACGCAUCACUGGUGUUCGGGUUGUCAUGCCAAUGGCACUGCCCGGUAGCUAAAUGCGGAAGAGAUAAGUGCUGAAAGCAUCUAAGCACGAAACUUGCCCCGAGAUGAGUUCUCCCUGACCCUUUAAGGGUCCUGAAGGAACGUUGAAGACGACGACGUUGAUAGGCCGGGUGUGUAAGCGCAGCGAUGCGUUGAGCUAACCGGUACUAAUGAACCGUGAGGCUUAACCUUACAACGCCGAAGGUGUUU